rnacentral:rRNA from 1 species
GAUGAACGCUAGCUACAGGCUUAACACAUGCAAGUCGAGGGGCAGCAGGGAUUUAGCUUGCUAAAUCCGCUGGCGACCGGCGCACGGGUGCGUAACGCGUAUCCAACUUUCCCGUUACUCAGGGAUAGCCUUCCGAAAGGGAGAUUAAUACCUGAUGGUGUUUGAAGUUCGCAUGUUCUUCAAACUAAAGAUUUAUCGGUAACGGAUAGGGAUGCGUGACAUUAGAUAGUAGGCGGGGUAACGGCCCACCUAGUCUACGAUGUCUAGGGGUUCUGAGAGGAAGGUCCCCCACACUGGAACUGAGACACGGUCCAGACUCCUACGGGAGGCAGCAGUGAGGAAUAUUGGUCAAUGGUCAGACGACUGAACCAGCCAUGCCGCGUGAAAGGUCACGGCCCUAUGGGUCUUAAAACUUCUUUUGCGAGGGAGCAAUAAGGCGCACGUGUGCGUCGAUGAGAGUACCUCGCGAAUAAGCAUCGGCAACUCCGUGCCAGCAG